AUUCAUAAUGCUAUUGACAAUCUGGGAGGAGCAUACAUUUUUACAAGAGUAUAGAUUCCAAAAUGUAGUUCAAUUGCAAACAUGGCAAGAAUAGGAAUUGUUGGAUUUCAUUUCUUUUGCACUAUCAUGGGAUAUAAACCAUCUUGAUCACAAUCGCAAAAAUAGUCUCCCUUAUAACUUCUGUGUAAAGUUUUUGUAGCUUAAACAAGAUGCAAAUGAUGCAGGACAGGAAACAUACCUAUCUGGAUUAUGACAGCAAUACAGACAAGCAUGGGUGUCAUUUCAGAUAAGGGACCGGUCUGCAUAUUGUGCUUUUGUAGCAGCCCAAACCUACUGAGGGCAACCUGUGGACAAAAGGCAUAUAUUCUGGCUGUUCUUUGUAGUGCUUACUUUACCUGACUGGUAGGUAAAUAUUAGCAGAGCCCUGAGUACCUUCAAAAUGCUGGGUAGAUAUAACAAAAUCUUAGUCUUGAGCUGUGAAUUCUCUUAAAACAACAGUAACAUGUAGCCAGAUUUUGUAGGUACAAACUGUCAUAGGAAGGAAGGCAGAAUGCAGACAGAAUGAAGAAAGCUGGAUCUCCAGUGACAGAUCUGCAGCUGCAUAUGCAUCACAUUCAGCACAACUUAAAAGGGCAGCAGCUGGCAAGAAAUGGCUUUAUAUUACAUUUACAGUUUUCUUUAUUAGGCAACAAGGAUGAUCUCCAGCCCCUUUGUAAGUAACUGUGAUCUUAGGAUGGUCCUAACUUGCCUACCUGGACUAGCAAAAGCAUGACUAGUGCUAUACCUGCAUACCUGAAAUAUCUUGCAGUGCUCUUUGCAGCAGGGCAAACAAGAUCAGCAAAAUGCAGCAUGCAACUAAAUGCAUCCACUGUGGAAAGGAGAAGUCAGGAGAAGACAGAAUGAAGCCAGGUGCAUAUAUUUACAUUAUUUGAAGAUUUCUUUCCAUAAGAAUGACCACGUGGCCCAUGUGUGGAUAUAUCUUUACAGUACUGGUACGGUGAUCAGUUUGGGCAGUACACACAUCUGGCCACUCACUAGCACCAUAGAUUAAACCUGUUCUGAAAUUUAAGUGUGAAUAUCCCACCACUGUUGUAAAGUAUGGUAAAAUACGCAUCUUGUUCUUUCACAAAGAAUGAGAAAACUAUGGAAAAUUAAGAGCUUUUGGACAAAUGUGAGUGAAGGAUAAAGGAAAGUUAAGCAGAAAUAUUAAACUUUGCACUUAGCAGAUUAAAUGAGACCAAAAAAACUGUUGCCCCAACAGUAAGACUUUUGCUGCUCGUUUCCAUCUUUUAGUACGCUUCUUUUUAACACACUCAGGAGAAAAAAAAACAUCACCAACAACCACCAAAAUUUCUCUUGUUGGUCAAUGAUUUAAUUUGUUUGUAGUGUAAAUGAAACUCCUAGAAGAGGGCACCAAGGUAAAAAGGAUGAGCUGUUAAAUCCAUGGAGAGUAACAGGACAAUUUAAACAGCUGAUGUGAACACUGAUUAACAUGGACCAACUCAGCAAAAGGUGAGCACAAUGUGCUGAAGAACAGCUAUGGCCUUGUGAACUGAGGCAGAUGCAGCUUUUCAUGGUUGCUUCCAGACACAGCUGUUCGAGACUGAAACUGCAAUUCUGGGCUCCAACACUGCUGUAAUUGAUAACUGGACAUUAAUAGUUCCACCAAACUGCCACGCACAUGGAGAUGGAAUCAGACACAAAUAGGAUGUGAUUACUGCACUUCAACUCCCUGAUGAUCCAUCCCAGCUGACAUUAGGCUUGAGGGACUCUUAAACUCAAAAUAUGAAUCCGCAAGAGUUAUCCUUUUCCUUAUUUGCCCUGGGCAUCUCUCUGGUUCAGGCUGCAUCUAUGGAUCUAAGUCAUGCAGUAAUCAAGACUAUUAGCAUCAUCUCUGUGAGGAGGGUUCAGCCUUCUCACCAGUCACAAAGAGAAUGGUGUUGGCAGAUGAUGCCAUGGAAGGUGGGAGUUAGGGGCUUUAAACUGCCUCGAUUCGAAAUUAAAAUAAACCUAAUGUGCUC
ensembl:lncRNA